rnacentral:rRNA from 1 species
UAGAGUUUGAUCAUGGCUCAGGAUGAACGCUAGCGGCAGGCUUAACACAUGCAAGUCGAGGGGCAUCGGGAGGGAAGCUUGCUUUCCUUGCCGGCGACCGGCGCACGGGUGAGUAACACGUAUGCAACCUGCCCUCUUCAGGGGGACAACCUUCCGAAAGGGAGGCUAAUCCCGCGUAUAUCGGUUUCGGGCAUCCGAGAUCGAGGAAAGAUUCAUCGGAAGAGGAUGGGCAUGCGGCGCAUUAGCUUGACGGCGGGGUAACGGCCCACCGUGGCGACGAUGCGUAGGGGUUCUGAGAGGAAGGUCCCCCACACUGGUACUGAGACACGGACCAGACUCCUACGGGAGGCAGCAGUGAGGAAUAUUGGUCAAUGGGAGAGAUCCUGAACCAGCCAAGCCGCGUGAGGGAAGACGGCCCUAUGGGUUGUAAACCUCUUUUGUCGGAGAACAAAACCCGGGACGUGUCCCGGACUGCGUGUAUCCGAAGAAAAAGCAUCGGCUAACUCCGUGCCAGCAGCCGCGGUAAUACGGAGGAUGCGAGCGUUAUCCGGAUUUAUUGGGUUUAAAGGGUGCGUAGGCGGUCCGUUAAGUCAGCGGUAAAAUUGCGGGGCUCAACCCCGUCGAGCCGUUGAAACUGGCAGACUUGAGUUGGCGAGAAGUACGCGGAAUGCGCGGUGUAGCGGUGAAAUGCAUAGAUAUCGCGCAGAACUCCGAUUGCGAAGGCAGCGUACCGGCGCCAGACUGACGCUGAGGCACGAAAGCGUGGGGAUCGAACAGGAUUAGAUACCCUGGUAGU